CAGAUGCAUCGAUUUCGCAUUCAACUUGAACUUCUUUUUUUCCAGCAGAAAAAUUUCCAUGAUCAAUUAAAGAUUAUUUCCUAUAGGAAAAGACUAGGAAAAUGUCCACCUGGAAUUACUGUAGGAGGAAUAUUUACAAUAUCUCGUAAAAGUAUACCCAAGAUCUUGCAGACGAUGCAGUCUUAUUUUUCCAGCUUAAUGGGUAUUAAAAGUGGGGUGGAUGCUUGCGA